GCAAAGGUAGCAUAAUCAUUUGCCCUUUAAUUGGGGGCUUGUAUGAAUGGAUCGACUUUAUCAACCUGUCUCAUCAAGAUCUAUGAAAAUUUUGUUUCAGUUGAAGACAACUGAAUUCCAUGAAAGGACCAGAAGACCCUAUAGAGCUCAGGCUUUAAAUUAACUCUCUAUUUUUAAAUUGCCUUUGUUGGGGCGACAAUAAAUUAAUCAUUUAAUAAAAUUCUGACUUCAUGUUAAAUAUAAACCUAGCUAAACUAAACAAGGAAAAGCUACCUUAGGGAUAACAGUCUAAUUUUUCUUAAUAGCCCACAUUGACAGAAAAGUUUGGCAC
rnacentral:rRNA from 1 species